rnacentral:miRNA from 1 species
UACUUAGGCAAGUAAUGUGUGUGUGUGUGUGUGUGUGUGUGUGUACACACACACACACACACACACACACACACACACGACAUUUUUAUGUA